UGGAGUUGUUCAGCUCUUUCCAUCCUACGGUCUCAAUCACUCCUCUAUACCUAAACCAAUUCACCCCAUAGACCAACCUAGUGUCACUUAACCAAACGACAUCGUUUCCCAUUGAUGAAAAGAUCCUGGCCAUCAAUCUCACUUCAUCCAAUGGCCAAGAUCAAUUCCCCCACCUAAUAUAUAAACUCCAUCUCUCACCCCACGCCCCCAUAGCCAAACACCCAAUUUCUCUCUCUGUUCCUCCGUCUCUCUCGUUCAGAGAUGGACCUGGGUUUAAACCCUAGCUUCCUUAGCUCCCAUCCAUUUGAAACUCGACAGAAUCAAUGUCACCGGCCACCAUCUUAACAUCCUAGGACCACUCAACCACCCUGAAUCCAAAUCCACAAACCGUCUGGCUCGAAUUAACCUAUGUUGUCUUGAAUCUUAAUUUGAAGAUUCAAGUCAAACCUUAACCUACACCACCGACCCCAAAUUCACACUAGUUACUCCCUUGACACUCCCUCUUAACCAAACCAAACUUGGUUUGGUUCGAAUCUAACAAGAAAGCUUCAAACCCCAAAUUAGACCGUAUGAACCCUAGAAUUCAAAACAAUGGAAUCUGUCCAAUUAAAAGAGAGAUUGGGAUCUAAUAACCUUAAUCGAGGUGUUCUCAGUGUAGAACACUACGAUUAAAGACCGUUCGACCUCAAAGAAGUCAAGUCCGGUUCAAGCCUGGGUCAUCUGUGUUCUUUGAGUGCCUGAGGAACCUUCUUUUUUUUUCCUUCUGCUUUAUAUGCAUGAUUCUUAUCUGCUACAUGUUUAGUUUAGUUUAUUUAAUUUUUCAAUUUUUCUUUCAUUUCUGUUAAUCCCUAACCGACCCUUUAUUUGGUCGAUCUUCUUUUUUUGUUAAUUAUAUCUGUUUGUGAUGAACUGUGUAUUCAACUUGGUUAAAAGUGGUCGAUUAGUUAAAGAGAUAGAAGGGGUAGUAAUAAUAGGUUAAAAGUAAAAGGAAAUGGACUGAAAAAGGGGACUGCCGUUGGUAUAAAUGAGAGGAUUUAGGACAAUCCUUGAUAAGCUCUUUGGUUACUGUCAAAACCACUCAAUCACAUGUUGACCUGUUUAGUCUUCUUGUUAUUGUUAACUGUUAAAAUGUCAUAGCUUGUUAGUCGAUUAAAUGAGUGUCAUAAACUGAAUUCGCUUGAAAAACUAGAAAAUCAUGAGUCUGCUCAUUUUAAUGUGAUUACAAUCAUGUUCCUCUUAUCUAUGUUGAGACUUGUAUCAAUAUGGCUGUUCAAGUAGUGCUUCGAUCUUAGUUUGCAUUAUCAACUGCCUUGUUGAUCAAUUGGUCUUGAGUUGGUCAGGAUUGGUUCCCAAUAUGACCAACUCAUACCAUUUAAUUAACACCCCUUCCGUGUUAUGAUUUGUUUGAGCCUAAGCUGAGAAUUGGAUAUAGCUGUAGUAAUCUAAUAGUUCAACCUGAAAUCAAUGUUAAGUGUAAGUUUAUAUAGGUUGUAACUUCAAACUUCUAAUCUUAGGGUAAUAAAGUAAAUCACAGGGGUUUCUAGGGGUAAUUUGGGAAGUUCAAAGGUAGAAAAUUGGUUUGAUUAAGUGGUAUGUCCAGUGGGGUCCUAAUGUGCUUUAAUUUAAACUAAUUGAUAGGGGGACCACUAAGAAAUGAGAGAUGUUUGGGUGAUUGGGAAUUAGAAAUAGUAGGUUAGUAAUGAAAAGCUCAAUAACCCACAUAGUAGAGGAAUAUAUGGCUGGAAAGUAAAAGAGAUUGAAGUGGUAGUAAUAAUAGGUUAAAAGUAAAAGGAAAUGAGGUGAAAAAGGGGACUGCCUUUGGUAUAAAUGAGAGGAUUUAGGAAAGAUUUAAGGGGACUUGAACGGAGGACAAGAGAGAGAUUUUUAGAGUUUAAAAAUACUGAGAGUACAUAUAUAAGAACAGGGAGAAAGACGGAGAAGAGGUUAUCUAGAGUCUUAAGAAUUCAUAAGGAGGAGCUUUUAAUCAGUUUGAGAGGUCAUACUUGAAAUAAAAGCCAGUCUUACUAAAAAUCAGUCUUUGGGAGAGCAUUGUUGAGAGAUAAAAACCGGUUGAAGUUGAGAGUGUUAAUCAGUUCCUAGAGAGUUUUAUAUAUAGAGUUCUUCUUCUACUGAUCCAUUAAAGACUUAAAGGGAAAAUUCUGAUUCUUAGCUACUUAGUUAUAGUUUCUAAUUCAGUUCUGUUUAUUGGAGUGUUUUUAGGUUCAUUAGUUGGUUUCCUAUGGAUUUUGAAGUUCGAUUGAUUGCUAGUGGUUAUUUGUUGUUGCCGUUUGGUGUCACAACUAGUUCUGGGCUGUGGUCGAGGUUUAUUUUGGUCUAAAACUGGUGUUGAACUGUUCUGAAUUUCGUAAUUGCUGCUGGUGAUUUGCUGUUGUAUCGCCGUCUGUUAGCCACGGUUGCUGACUGUUCUUUCUUCUUCUUCUUCUUCUUCUUCUAUUUCCACUAUCCAGGUACACGCUUUGAAUUCUCACCAAUGUAACCUCAGAUUGGAAUAAAUGAAGUAAUGUUUCAGAUUUGUGCGUACGUGACUACCUGCAGCUAUGACCAACAUAAUAAUGUGUCAUUGUGUAGUUUUAGUUCGGUUGAACUAUUUUGAAAUAGGAGUUGUGUAAUUAAAAACUGAUUGGAAUUGCUUGGAUUUGUAUUGGAUUGUUUUGAAUUUGAGGACUGUUGAACCUAUGUUUACGAACAUGUGAAUUUUGUGGUCAUGUUUAAUUAAUCUUAGCUGGUGUUACUAACCAUGAAGGUUAGUGUAGUUAAUUCAUUUCAGUAGUCAUAAGAUAGUUUCAAAUAGCUUACGUCACAAAACAGGUUUAAAUAAGUUCUAAUGGAAAUCAGUAUGUUGGUUUAAUACGUGUAGUUUCAAAAUUGCGAGUUCACGUGAGUAAAUAAUAUCAAUUCGAAGAGCAUUGAAUCAUGUUAGUAAAUAAUGUUAGUUCAUAAAUGUUAAUGAGCAGUGUUAGCUCUUAAUGGCAAUGUUUCAUGUGUAGUGAAGUCCCAUAACGAACUGCCUCAAUUGUGAAACUCUAUCCGCGCUUCAAGUUUAAUUGUCAUCUUCAUGGAUACUUAGUAAUUCAUCAGUAUACUGAUUUGAGCUUUAGAAUUUAGAAUUAAACUUGGCCAGAUAUUAUAUCAAUUUGCUUCUCCUUGGAUUGUUAGCGAAAUGAUUAGGCUCAAAUAAGAUUUUGCAAUUCCUUACGCAAUAGUUGAAUAAUAAUCAUGGACCUAGGCAUAAUGGUGCUUAAACAACAAUUACUAAGUAGGGCUUUUUUC
rnacentral:lncRNA from 1 species